AUAAAAAGGCAUUCUCUGCGGAAUUUUCUUAAAGAUAUUUUCUUUUGGUGCCCUUAGAUUUUGGUUUUAAUUAUAUAUGUGGGGUUGGGGUUUUUAUUUAAGUUUACGGGAAAUUAGUAGUUUAAAGUAUGAGUUUUUUUAUGAAGAUCUCUCUAUAUAUCAGGCCCUCAAAGCUUAAUUUCGUUUGCUUGGAAUACAAGACUGCUUUGACUUUACAAUCAGAGUCGCAUCACAUCGAUUAAUAUACUUUUGACCUUGUGCUAACCGGUCAAGCAUUGUACUGUAAAACAAAAAGAGUUACUAAUUCUUCACGAUAUUGAAGACCUGGUCGCGCCUAUUUGUAACCAUGAAAAGCAUGCACACGAUUCUCGUCUAUGCCGUGAUCGGGGUUCUGACCCUGAUCAUCGUCAUCUUAUCAAUCAUACUGAUCGUAGGAUUAUUUAUUCCCAUGAAAAAGGACGACACUUUGACAACAUAUGAAUACGAGACUACUAGGAAGUACUCUGAAGAAUUUGUAAACCAUUACUAGAAAAACUAGGAAGUACUAUUGCUGUGACAGGGAGUCAAGCAUUAUGAUUUGCUUUCCGUGUUUUGCGUGAAAAUUUACAAAAUUGCCCUGCACUUAAUUUGGAAGUUAAAAAACCGCAUUUUAUCCAUACUUUAUUGGUACAAAAAUCGUGUAGUAGUGCCAGUUUUAAGCAAAAUUAAAUUUAAAUUGUCAACAAUA